rnacentral:rRNA from 1 species
UACGAAGGGGGCUAGCGUUGUUCGGAAUUACUGGGCGUAAAGCGCACGUAGGCGGAUAUUUAAGUUAGGGGUGAAAUCCCAGGGCUCAACCCUGGAACUGCCUCUAAUACUGGGUAUCUCGAGUCCGAGAGAGGUGAGUGGAAUUCCGAGUGUAGAGGUGAAAUUCGUAGAUAUUCGGAGGAACACCAGUGGCGAAGGCGGCUCACUGGCUCGGUACUGACGCUGAGGUGCGAAAGCGUGGGGAGCAAAC